CAGUCGCCGCGGGAAUACGAAGGGUGCAAGCGUUACUCGAAAUUACUGGGCGUAAAGGGCGCGUAGGUGGUUAUGUAAGUGAGAUGUGAAAUCCCCGGGCUCAACCUGGGAACUGCAUCUUAUACUGCGUAGCUGGAGUGCAGUAGAGGGUAGUGGAAUUUCCGGUGUAGCGGUGAAAUGCGUUGAGAUCGGGAGGAACGCCCGUGGCGAAAGCGAGGUCCUGGACGUUUACUGACGCUGAGACGCGAAAGCCAGGGGAGCGAACGGGAUUAGAGACCCCUGUAGUCCCUGUCUCUUAUAC
rnacentral:rRNA from 1 species